GAAGGUAGCAAGAUAGCUGAAUAUGAAGCCCCCAACUCUGCCUCCCACAGAGAUGCCAUUACCUUUGUGAGAAAUCCGGAAACCAGCUACGAGACCAAUGAAAGACAGCAAAUAAAUAGAAGCCCAACCCGCCAUUGUGCUGACCCCCCGCAGGAACAUCUCUCGAGGACGCUGGGAGACUGACAGGUCCGUAAGCGCUGAGGUUCUGCUUUCUGUCCUUCUGGUUGGCCUGUUCUUCGGAAGAGAAGUUUAUGACAUAAAGCUGGCCAUAGCUGUUCCUGUGAUUCUCUCUAUUCUGAUGCAGACGAAGGUCCACACAUUUCUUGAAGUUGCCAGAUUGGGCAAACCAGGAAAUGGCAAGAAACUACUUUUUAGACUUCCGUCAUCUCAGCUUUUAUGUAAAGUACUAUAUCUUGAAUGCAAUUGGUGCUCACAAGUGUGCAUGCGAUGAUGGAAUGAACUACUGAAUCAGUGAAUUGCUGUUAGAAAAGCAUUUGUUCUGGAUAUACUUCUGGCUGCUUUGGACGCUGAGAAGUUGACCUGUAUGAGGGGCAGCAUAAGAAAUAUGAAGCCCUGAUUUCUAGAUUUUCAUGGAGAAAAAUUUGUCUUGGUGAUAAGGCAUCUUGGUUGACAUUGGCAUAUGCGACGAGUAAAAGGCAAUGACCAUUUUCAGUGUAGAAACCCUCAAGAGAUGAUUUCAUCUGAUGCAUAAAUUACUUUCCCAGAAGUGCUGUUACUUACAAGUUGCUGACUACUAUUGCACUGCAAGACAAGACCGUUCAAGCUUCACCAAAGGCAGCUUUGUCCUGUGCUUUUUCGCCUGGCAGGACACCUGCAAAAGAUGAUGCAUGCGGGUUGUUCCGGAGCACUGCAGUGUGCUAAGAAAUGGAAUGACUGCAAGCCAGGUAUGGGGAAGAAAUGCUUUCAGAUUCCCCUAAAAUUUGCCCUCAGCGAUAUUGAAUGGGAGUGAAUUACUAAGAAAGAACAAUAGCAUGUAACAGUUAGCCUGGAAUAGAGAAAUCAGGGGUAGAUGACUUCUUCAUGAGUAUGUUUAGACAUGAAUCUAAGGGACAGAGGCAAACAAUUGUUA